UACGGAGGGUGCAAGCGUUGUUCGGAAUUACUGGGCGUAAAGCACGCGUAGGCGGCUUGGUAAGUUGGGAGUGAAAUCCCGAGGCUCAACCUCGGAAUUGCUUUCAAAACUAUCAAGCUAGAGUAUGGCAGGGGACAGUGGAAUUCCUAGUGUAGAGGUGAAAUUCGUAGAUAUUAGGAGGAACACCAGUGGCGAAAGCGACUGUCUGGACCAUUACUGACGCUGAGGCGUGAAAGCGUGGGGAGCAAACAGG
rnacentral:rRNA from 1 species